AGCAAAAAAAAAAAAAAAAAAAAAAUCAAGCCAUUAAACCACACCCCCCCCACCACCCUCAACUGGAACAGACUUCUUCAGUCUUAUUGGCUGGGACUGGGUCACAUGACCCCCUCUGGUGAGGGGGCAGGAAAGCAAAGCGGUCAGCUUUCCGGCUUCAGGGUGGACGUUGUCCAGGGAAAGGCUGUUGGAAGUAACUGAUUGGACCACCAAGAGUGUCACUGGAUGUGGGUACGUUUAAGUCACUCAUGGGGUUCUCAUGUGACCCAGGGGGCCUGCCUCACUGGCAAACAAGAUCCCCUCUCUGCCACGUGUAACCCACUCUGAGCGCUGCCGGAAAGGGACUUCAUUGGCAUCUUCCUCCCGUCACCCGACAGCGACAGCCCGUUCCUGGGAAUGCUGAGCAAUGCUGUGUGACACGCCCGUCUGAACUCCUUGGUUGCAGGUGGCAGGAACCCAACCCUCAGCGGCUUAAGUGAAAAAGGGAUUAUUUGGGGAGUUCCCUCGUGGCUCAGCAGAUGAGGGGUUCAGCAUUGUCACUGCUGUGGCUUUGGUUACAGCUCCGGUACGGGUUCAGUCCCUGACCCAAGUGCACACACACAGACACACACACACCCCACCCCCCAGGGCAGGAAUCAUGCUCGAGGCUGCGUCUUCAGGCCUUGAUCACUAUCAGCUGUGUCCUCACCUGAUUUCAAUGAGCCAAAGAGCCUUUGGCUGCGUCCGUCCCUCCGAGGCAUGUGGAAGUUCCCAGGCCAGGGAGCAAACCCACGCCACAGCAGGCACAUGCUGGAUCCUUAACCUGCCACCAAAGGAACUCCCAAAGAGCCUUGUUUUUCUUACACCUCAGCCCCUAAAAUCAAAUUAACCACCCCAUCCAGGUCUCAGAAAAGCAGCACCCGUCCCAGGCCAGAGGGAAAUCCGUUGGAGGCAUCUAUCAACCAGACAGACACCCUCGCAGGGGCCUGCCCAGCACUAUCCACUGUACCAGCCAACCAGCACUUCCGAGGCUCCGGUGCAGCCUGUCUGCAUCAUCAAAACAGUGUGUGCACUGCCUGGAAAAUGAGCACCAAGCUGCAGUUUUGCUGCGGGCCCUUCAGCCCAGCCCCAGAGAGAGCACCCCCAGCUGCCGGUGGCAGUGGCACCACGGCCUCGAGCAGGGUGCUUCUUCACUCAAACGCGAGGGUCCCCGGGUGUCAGCCGUGUGUCUGGAUCCACUGCUCAGUCUGCGUCUGGACACAGUCCCUCCAGGCGCCGUGUCACUGAGCUUCCUCUGGAGCUCAGGCCAGGGAGGGCCGCUCCACAGGGAUCAGCGACAUUCGUAUUGUUUGUAUCGUCCAGGGUAAGGGGACUAAGCUUUGUUUUUUAUUUAUUUUUUGGCCUCAUGGUACAGCAGCUUGAUGUGUGAGAUUUCAGUUCCCAGGCCAGGGUUCAAUCCCGGGCCUCAGACGUGAAAGCACUGAAUCCUAACCACUAGGCCACCAGGGAACUCCCAAGUGGACUAAGGUUUAAACUUACUGUCUGGAGUUGCCGUCGUGGCUGAGCGGGUUAAGAACCCAACCUAGUGAGGAUGCAGGUCUCGCCCAGUGGGUUAAAGAUCCCGUGUGGCUGUGGCUGGGGUGCAGGCCGGCAACAGCAGCUCCUAUUUGACCCCUAGGCUGGGAACUUCCCUACGCCACAGGUGCGGCCCUAAAAAGAAAAAUAGAAUAAUUAUACUGAGCGUCUGUGACUAGUGAAGCAGCCACCCCCCCCCCCCCGAUGAGGGCAAGGGUCGCAGAAUGUCGCUGCUCGUUCCCUUGACUUCCCACUAGGUCCUCAUGGCACCACCAUCUCCCCAGGGCCCACCGGGGCCCUGCCUGGGUGCAGCUGACAGAACCACACCACAGGGCCGAGACCAAAUGCGAGAAGGGCUGGGGGAGAAAGACGUGCGAUUCUCUGAGCUCCUAGAUGAGGCGGCACCUGCCCACGGCAGAGGCCAGGCCAGACCGUUUGCAAAAGCAUGAGGCGUGCAGACGGGAGGGGUGGGAGGGCUUUAGCGGUGAGGUCUUGGGAGAGUGAUGGUGGCACACGAGUGGGCCAGGAGACUGUGCUGAGCAGUCCGGACUGGACCCUGAGGUCAGCAUGGACAGUGGGAGGGGUUGAGCCAUGCAAGGACAGGCACACCUGGCACCUGGGAAGGUCCCCCUGGCCUCUGGUCAGACAUGGCAGGUGGGGCGUUUGUAUUCCCUCCGCUCCUUCCGGAGCCCCCCACAUGGCGGUACAGAUUCAGCACAUGUGUCUCCCACGGCCACAGAACAAAAGAGAGAGGAGGAAGCGGCAGGAGACGUGAACCACAUCCUGGGUACCGGGAAGCAGAUGGACAGGCAGCAGCUGGCCUUAAUCAUCUCUGUUCACAGCCCCCAGCCAGCGCAGAGCAAGACAGGGUGGUACUGGAGUUCCCUCAGGGCCCAGCGGGCUAAGGAUCCCCCGCUGUCGCUGCCGCAGCUCAGGUCACUUCAGUGUUCACUGGUCCAGGAGCUUCCACACGCCACCUGCGCAGCAAAACUAAAUAAAUAAACGGCAACCAGGACUUGUGGUCUGUUGCUGAGCAGUUCUGACCCCUGCUCUCAGACUCUACCUGUCUUGGAAGUUGGUCAGUCUCUAGAGCAGAACCUUUCAGAUGAGGAGACUGAGGCACAGAGAAGUUGAAUCAUCUCCCCAGAGACACACAGCCCGAGGACACAGCAGGGCGUCGAAACAUAAAGACAUGAAAAGAGUGAGCUGAGGUGUAGAUUGCGACGGCUCGGAUCCCGGGUGGCCGUGGCUCUGGUGUAGGCUGGCAGCCGUAGCUCUGAUUCAACCCCUAGCCUGGGAACCGCCCUAUGCCGCGGGUGUGGCCCUCAAA